rnacentral:rRNA from 1 species
UACGUAGGUGACAAGCGUUGUCCGGAUUUACUGGGCGUAAAGAGCGCGCAGGCGGUCGUUCAAGUCGAGUGUGAAAGCCCCCGGCUCAACUGGGGAGGGUCAUUCGAUACUGAUCGACUCGAAGGCAGGAGAGGGAAGUGGAAUUCCCGGUGUAGUGGUGAAAUGCGUAGAUAUCGGGAGGAACACCAGUGGCGAAGGCGACUUCCUGGCCUGUUCUUGACGCUGAGGCGCGAAAAGCUAGGGG